GGAGGGGGCUAGCGUUGUUCGGAAUUACUGGGUGUAAAGGGAGCGCAGGCGGUGCGGCAAGUCUGAUGUGAAAGCCCGGGGCUCAACCCCGGUACUGCAUUGGAAACUGUCGUACUAGAGUGUCGGAGGGGUAAGUGGAAUUCCUAGUGUAGCGGUGAAAUGCGUAGAUAUUAGGAGGAACACCAGUGGCGAAGGCGGCUUACUGGACGAUNACUGACGCUGAGGCUCGAAAGCGUGGGGAGCAAACAGGAUUAGAUACCCUGGUAGUCCACGCCGUANACGAUGAGNNCUAGGUGUUGGGGGNAUAACUCNGUGCCGCAGUUAACGCNAUANGUUCUCCGCCUGGGGAGU
rnacentral:rRNA from 1 species